AUUGAACGCUGGCGGCAGGCCUAACACAUGCAAGUCGAGCGGCAGCGGAAAGUAGCUUGCUAUUUUGCCGGCGAGCGGCGGACGGGUGAGUAAUGUCUGGGAAACUGCCCGAUGGAGGGGGAUAACUACUGGAAACGGUAGCUAAUACCGCAUAACGUCGCAAGACCAAAGAGGGGGACCUUCGGGCCUCUCGCCCUCGGAUGUGCCCAGAUGGGAUUAGCUAGUAGGUGGGGUAACGGCUCACCUAGGCGACGAUCCCUAGCUGGUCUGAGAGGAUGACCAGCCACACUGGAACUGAGACACGGUCCAGACUCCUACGGGAGGCAGCAGUGGGGAAUAUUGCACAAUGGGCGCAAGCCUGAUGCAGCUAUGCCGCGUGUAUGAAGAAGGCCUUCGGGUUGUAAAGUACUUUCAGCGAGGAGGAAGGCAUUAAGGUUAAUAACCUUGGUGAUUGACGUUACUCGCAGAAGAAGCACCGGCUAACUCCGUGCCAGCCGCCGCCGUAA
rnacentral:rRNA from 1 species